AUUGAACGCUGGCGGCAUGCCUUACACAUGCAAGUCGAACGGCAGCAUGGAGAGCUUGCUCUCUGAUGGCGAGUGGCGAACGGGUGAGUAAAGCAUCGGAACGUACCGUGUAGUGGGGGAUAACGUAGCGAAAGUUACGCUAAUACCGCAUACGCACUGAGGUGGAAAGCAGGGGAUCGUAAGACCUUGCGCUAUACGAUCGGCCGAUGUCAGAGUAGCUAGUUGGUAGGGUAAAGGCCUACCAAGGCGACGAUCUGUAGCGGGUCUGAGCGGAUGAUCCGCCACACUGGGACUGAGACACGGCCCAGACUCCUACGGGAGGCAGCAGUGGGGAAUUUUGGACAAUGGGGGCAACCCUGAUCCAGCCAUGCCGCGUGAGUGAAGAAGGCCUUCGGGUUGUAAAGCUCUUUCGGCCGGGAAGAAAUCGCACAGGCUAAUACCCUGUGUGGAUGACGGUACCGGCAUAAGAAGCACCGGCCAACUACGUGCCAGCCGCCGCCGUAA
rnacentral:rRNA from 1 species